rnacentral:rRNA from 1 species
CAAGUGAAGAGUUUGAUCCUGGCUCAGAUUGAACGCUGGCGGCGUGCUUAACACAUGCAAGUCGAUCGGUAACAGGUGUAGCAAUACAUGCUGACGAGAGGCG